GGGAACGUAGGCUAAUUGGCAGGCUAUCGGUCUUUCAAACCGAUGGGUGCGGGAUCGUACCCCGCCGUUCCUA
rnacentral:tRNA from 1 species